rnacentral:rRNA from 1 species
UACGAAGGGGGCGAGCGUUGUUCGGAUUUACUGGGCGUAAAGGGCGCGUAGGCGGCGGCCCAAGUCGAGUGUGAAAGCCCCGGGCUCAACCUGGGAGGUGCGCUCGAGACUGGGUUGCUGGAGUUCGGGAGAGGAGCGUGGAAUUCCCAGUGUAGAGGUGAAAUUCGUAGAUAUUGGGAAGGACACCGGUGGCGAAGGCGGCGCUCUGGACCGAGACUGACGCUGAGGCGCGAAAGCGUGGGGAGCAAACAGG